rnacentral:rRNA from 1 species
GGCCGUCACUUAUGGAUGGACCCGCGUCGCAUUAGAUAGUUGGUGAGGUAACGGCUCCCCAAGGCAACGAUGCGUAGCCGACCUGAGAGGGUGAUCGGCCACCCUGGGAAUGAGACACGGCCCAGACUCCUACGGGAGGCAGCAGUAGGGAAUCUUCCGCAAUGGGCGAAAAUCCGACGGAGCAACUCCGCGUGAGUGAUGAAGGCUUUUGGGUCGUAAAACUCUGUUGUUAGGGAAGAACAAGUGCUAGUUGAAUUAGUUGGCACCUUGACGGUACCUAACCAGAAAGCCACGGCUAACUUCGUGCCAGCAGCCGCGGUAAUACGUAGGUGGCAAGCGUUAUCCGGAAUUAUUGGGCGUAAAGCGCGCGCAGGUGGUUUCUUAAGUUUGAUGUGAAAGCCCCCGGCUCAACCGUGGAGGGUCAUUGGAAACUGGGAGACUUGAGUGCAGAAGAGGAAAGUGGAAUUCCAUGUGUAGCGGUGAAAUGCGUAGAGAUAUGGAGGAACCCCAGUGGCGAAGGCGACUUUCUGGUCUGUAUCUGACCCUGAGGCGCGAAAGCGUGGGGAGCAAACAGGAUUAGAUACCCUGGUAGUCCCCGCCGUAAACGAUGAGUACUAAGUGUUA